rnacentral:rRNA from 1 species
GACGAACGCUGGCGGCGUGCUUAACACAUGCAAGUCGAACGAGAAUCUGUGGAUCGAGGAUUCGUCCAAGUGAAGCAGAGGACAGUGGCGGACGGGUGAGUAACGCGUGAGGAACCUGCCUUUCAGAGGGGGACAACAGUUGGAAACGACUGCUAAUACCGCAUGAUACGUUUUAGGGGCAUCCCUGAGACGUCAAAGAUUUAUCGCUGAAAGAUGGCCUCGCGUCUGAUUAGCUGGUUGGUGAGGUAACGGCCCACCAAGGCGACGAUCAGUAGCCGGCCUGAGAGGGUGAACGGCCACAUUGGGACUGAGACACGGCCCAAACUCCUACGGGAGGCAGCAGUGGGGAAUAUUGCACAAUGGGGGAAACCCUGAUGCAGCAACGCCGCGUGAGUGAAGAAGUAUUUCGGUAUGUAAAGCUCUAUCAGCAGGAAAGAAAAUGACGGUACCUGACUAAGAAGCCCCGGCUAACUACGUGCCAGCAGCC